rnacentral:piRNA from 1 species
CUAAUAGCCAGUUUUGUCUGAUG